CAGCAGGAGUGCAAGGAAGAGAAGAAACGGCCGUGUAAAGGUAGUGGCGGCGUGGGCCAUGGCAAGAGAGUCAGCUUUAACGGUAGAGUCGGUGUGGUGUACAGGCAGUCUCGUCAAUCCCUAUCCACUCUGAUGUCUAAAUAGAAUUUACUCUAUUAUUUCGUACUGUGCCAGGUGUUUUCUUGAAUCUUGUGUAUGUCGGCACAGGAGUUUGUAUUUGUUUAUUUGUCUUGUGACCGCUGUGUUAGCGGGGUACCUACAGUGCAUGCAUGUCUUGAGCUUUGCU